rnacentral:rRNA from 1 species
UACAGAGACUGCAAGCGUUAUUCGGAUUCACUGGGCGUAAAGGGUGCGCAGGUGGUCGUGUGUGUCAGAUGUGAAAUCCCGGGGCUUAACUCCGGAACUGCGUCUGAAACUGCACGACUAGAGCAUUGGAGAGGGUAGUGGAAUUCACGGUGUAGCAGUGAAAUGCGUAGAUAUCGUGAGGAACACCAGAGGCGAAGGCGACUACCUGGACAAUUGCUGACACUCAGGCACGAAAGCAUGGGGAGCAAAAGGG